GCCUCUUGAACUGCUUCCUUGGCCCACUCUCACUCUGUGGAGUGUACAUUUGUUUCAAUAAAUCUGUGCUUUUUUUUUUCAUUGUUUUGUUUGUGCAUUUCAUCCAAUUGUUUGUUCAAAAUGCCAAGAAUCUGGACACCCUCCACCAGUAACAGGCAUUGGGAAGGGGAAGGCAGAAAAGCGGAGUGCAAAAUGAAGUGGUAGUGGGUGCUAACUAACAAGAGAACCUUUGAACACGAUGGGACAGAAAUAAGGUCAUGCAUUUUCUACUAUCUGUCACCUGUGGACAACUUGCCACUUCAACAGUUCUGGACACUUUUAAGCUCCCCCGAGGAGAAGAUAGGAAACUUGGACACCCUGUGUGGGAUUGAGAAUCACAAAGGGGCAGUCUCGCACCUGGUCAAGAUAAAACUGAACUGAACUCUUCAUUCACAAGUGGGAUUCUCGUAAGAGGCAGGAAAGCAGGGACCGUCUGUCACUACCCACAGCAGGAAGAGGUGAACCUUAAUGAGGGAAGAAAACAGAUUCUAUUAGGGGAAAAAAACAUUUAAUCAGAAAAUAAGGCUCUGGAAAGAAAAGGCCAACUGGGGCUUUGUCUGAAGAAAUAACAGAGUAUUUUUCUGCCAGAGAAAGCAAGUCCAAGGAAGGAAUUUUCAGAUUGACCAAAGAGUAUUGGUUAGCAUCAUUAGUACUUUCAGUGAGAAAUAAUUGAAAAUAAACUAGAGCAAAAGUUCCCCAGGUGUGGUUCCAGGACCAGCAACUGAAACAUCACCUGGGAACUGUUAAAAAUGCAAAUUCUUGGGCUCUCCGCCAGAAUCACUGAAUCAGAAACUCUGAAAUGGGACCCAAUAAUCAGCAGCUUAACAAGC
rnacentral:lncRNA from 1 species